CAGCAGCCACGGGAAUACGUAGGUCCCGAGCGUUGUCCGGAUUUAUUGGGCGUAAAGCGUGCGCAGGCGGUUAUAUAAGACAGAUGUGAAAUCCCCGGGCUCAACCUGGGACCUGCAUUUGUGACUGUAUAGCUAGAGUACGGUAGAGGGGGAUGGAAUUCCGCGUGUAGCAGUGAAAUGCGUAGAUAUGCGGAGGAACACCGAUGGCGAAGGCAAUCCCCUGGACCUGUACUGACGCUCAUGCACGAAAGCGUGGGGAGCAAACAGGAUUAGAUACCCGUGUAGUCCCUGUCUCUUAUAA
rnacentral:rRNA from 1 species